rnacentral:SRP_RNA from 1 species
GCUGGGUGUGGUAGCAAGCACCUGUAGUCCCAGCUACUCUGGAGGCUGAGGCAAGAGGAUCCCUUGAGCCCAGGAGUUUGAGGCUGCAGGGCUCAAUGAUUGCACCUGUGAAUAGCCACUGCACUCCAGCCUGGGCAACAUAGUGAGACCCUGUCUCUA